rnacentral:rRNA from 1 species
AGGACGAACGCUGGCGGCGUGCUUAACACAUGCAAGUCGAGCGGAAAGGCCCUUCGGGGUACUCGAGCGGCGAACGGGUGAGUAACACGUGAGUAAUCUGCCCCUAGCUCUGGGAUAGCUCCGGGAAACCGGGAUUAAUACCGGAUGUGGUCACAACGGGACAUCCCGAUGUGAAAAAAGGCGCAAGCCGCUCGAUGACGGGCUCGCGGCCUAUUAGCUUGUUGGUGGGGUAACGGCCUACCAAGGCGACGAUGGGUAGCUGGUCUGAGAGGACGAUCAGCCACACUGGGACUGAGACACGGCCCAGACUCCUACGGGAGGCAGCAGUUAGGAAUUUUCCGCAAUGGGCGAAAGCCUGACGGAGCAACGCCGCGUGUGUGAUGAAGACCUUCGGGUUGUAAGCACUGUCGGAGGGAGAAUGAAUGACGGUACCCUCCAAGAAAGCCCGGCUAACUACGCGCCAGCAGCCGC